rnacentral:rRNA from 1 species
GACGAACGCUGGCGGCGUGCCUAACACAUGCAAGUCGAGCGAGGAGAUUCCCUUCGGGGAUGAACCUAGCGGCGGACGGGUGAGUAACACGUGGGCAACCUGCCUUAUAGAGGGGAAUAGCCUUCCGAAAGGAAGAUUAAUACCGCAUAACAUUACAUUUUCGCAUGAAGAAGUAAUUAAAGGAGUAAUCCGCUAUAAGAUGGGCCCGCGGCGCAUUAGCUAGUUGGUGAGGUAACGGCUCACCAAGGCGACGAUGCGUAGCCGACCUGAGAGGGUGAUCGGCCACAUUGGGACUGAGACACGGCCCAGACUCCUACGGGAGGCAGCAGUGGGGAAUAUUGCACAAUGGGGGAAACCCUGAUGCAGCAACGCCGCGUGAGUGAUGAAGGUCUUCGGAUCGUAAAGCUCUGUCUUCAGGGACGAUAAUGACGGUACCUGAGGAGGAAGCCACGGCUAACUACGUG